rnacentral:misc_RNA from 1 species
UGCAGCUACUGACCCAUUCCUUUCAUCACCACCUAAGAGCACUUGUAAAUGAGCCUCACGAAGAUCCCGACCAAGUAAAGACAAUGCCUGACUGUUUGGAAUUGCAACUCUACGCAAUCUGCGACGUCUGGUGACUUUGGACUCGCAAGAGUGCUCAUCUUCGAGGUGGGAACACAGAGAUGCGAUGUCGAAAUCUUCGUAACAAUAGGGACAUGGGAAAUCGGGUCGGACCUCGUCUUCUACCUCGAAAUCAUCGAUGCUCAACCGAUCUAAGUGGGAACUCUGAAUCUGAUGAUGGUGCUGCAAGGUGUAUUGCCUUUUUGCGGCAGCUAGGCGAGAGGUCCAGAAAUCAGAGUCCAUUUCCCUUGAAAGAUCGAAG